GGAACACAUGUUAUCUCAACACUGCUCAAUUGUAGUUAUAAUUGUACCCUGGACAUUUUGACACCAUAUUUGGACUGGUUGGUCAGCAAACUGCUUAUACUUUUGCAGAAUGGUAAACAAAUGGUACAAGAAGGUGCCUUGACAGCCUUAGCAUCAGUUGCUGAUUCAUAUCAGGUGAUGAAGACCAGAUAAAGUUAGAUGGAGGAUUAAUAUUGAGAUUUGUGGUGCAGAGUUUGAUCAGACUUCAUAUAUUUAUUUAUGUUAAUAUGACAUUUAUCCCACAUCGGAGAAAAAGAAGAAUUUUUUGGUAUAUAAAAUAUGAGAGAGUUCAUUAGUUUCUGAAGUGUUUUUAAGGUUAUAAUGUGCUGAAAUAUGGGUUCACCCAGAGGUUGGCUUACUCCAAAUGAAUAAAAACUUUUUAGGUGAUCAUUUUCUAGUAUGAUAUGCUAUA